rnacentral:rRNA from 1 species
AAAGAGUUUUCGGACAAUGGAAGUAGAGGAAAGUGGCGGACGGGUGAGUAACGCGUGAGGAACCUGCCUUGAAGAGGGGGACAACAGUUGGAAACGACUGCUAAUACCGCAUGAAGCAUAGGGGUCGCAUGAUUCUUAUGCCAAAGAUUUAUCGCUUCAAGAUGGCCUCGCGUCUGAUUAGCUAGUUGGCGGGGUAACGGCCCACCAAGGCGACGAUCAGUAGCCGGACUGAGAGGUUGAACGGCCACAUUGGGACUGAGAUACGGCCCAGACUCCUACGGGAGGCAGCAGUGGGGAAUAUUGGGCAAUGGGCGCAAGCCUGACCCAGCAACGCCGCGUGAAGGAAGAAGGCUUUCGGGUUGUAAACUUCUUUUAAGAGGGAAGAGCAGAAGACGGUACCUCUAGAAUAAGCCACGGCUAACUACGUGCCAGCAGCCGCGGUAAUACGUAGGUGGCAAGCGUUGUCCGGAUUUACUGGGUGUAAAGGGCGUGCAGCCGGGUCUGCAAGUC